GGAAAAACCUGUCCCCGUGAUUCAAUUCCCUCUCACUGGGUCCCUCCCAUGACAGGUGAGAAUUAUGGGAGCUACAAUCCAAGAUGAGAUUUGGGUGGUGACACAGCCAAACCAUAUCACCAGGAGAAAAGAAAAGAAAAAAAUGAUGCUUGAGAAGAAAGAGAGAGCAAGAAAGCGAGAGAGAAUGGUAGAGAUGGAGGUAUUGAAAAGAUAAGAGAAGAUGGGAUUCAGAACUCAAGAAGGGGAGUCAAUUCAAGAUAACAGUGGAUUCUACCAAGUAUAAACACUAAGAUUCAAUUGUCACUAAAAGACAAAAGGAAGAUAUUUUGGCAGAG
rnacentral:lncRNA from 1 species